ACUUGCUUUGUUUUGCACCGAAACAGCAGAGGAGUGCUUAAGCAAGCACAGACAUCAGCUGAUACAGAGCAAUUCUGAGUCUGUUGCCAGAGUAGCUGUAUGAUUCACAGCUCCUGCUGCACAAAGGAAGAGUUCAGUCUUCCCUGAGAAUCAGGCUCAUCCUUGGUACUCUGUUUCAAGGUUUCCAGAUAUUUCAGGAAGAAAACAGAACCUCUGGAGAGACCAAGAGGAAUGAUCUGAAAAUUAAGGCAAAGAUUGUAACUUAAGUGUAACUUAAGUGAAAAUUUGUCUUGAAGAGCAAAUAUGUCUGAUGCUAGUUAAUAUUGAGUCCUACUGCAUUUAUAUACUCCUGAACAGUUGAGUUCAGCAUAGAGGAAUGACAAAGAAUGUGUCUCCAUGUUCCCUGUUCUUAUCUCCCUAUAAAGAAUGAGAGGCCUCAGGAAACAAAAUGGAGGAAAAGAUCAAGCAGAUUUUGAAUUUGAACUACGAUGGUGUCCUUUGGCAUGCAGAUUUUGUUUAUCUUUCCACAGCUGAGGUGGCAACAUGAAGCUUUUAUGAUGACACUUGUGGAGGUUCUGUUCUUUAUCUGCCUUUUGGUGACAUAAUGGACUAAGGAGAACUUUGCUCUCACUCUUAACAGAAAUCAGAAGAAGACGGUUUCCUUCAAAACUUGUUAUGCUUGAAUCUUCAGACCAAGAGAGCGAGUCAGCUGGAAGAUAGACGUUACCUAUAAGAGUAUAAAUGGAUACUUUGUGAGCCUUGGAAGUCAAUGUUUUAUUUCUUUUAUUCAUGUGUUCUGGUAGCAAUUCUCAAUUUUUAGCUUCUUCCACACUUAACAGAGUUAUUCCUGCCAUAUUAUAAUUUUGACUGUUAAUAUCUAUUUUCUCUGUGUUUGAGAAGAAAUGAUGAAAACCUGUUCCUUUAGGGACAUAGCUGACCUUUUGAUUUCUUUGGAUUCAUGUGUGGCGAGAAAAAAAAAAUCAAAACAAAACAAAAAAAUCCUCUCCUGAUCCUGCUGUAUUCCUUUACAACUAGCUGUCUAAUCUCUCGCUAAUAACUUUUAUCUAUUUAUUUUCUUGUCUCAAAAGAUGUUUUUGUGAGAAAUAGCCAUCUCUUUCCUUGGUGUGAAAGUACUUUUUGGUAAAAAUCUUAACACUGGAAGAAACUGCAGUGCAGUAGCAUGCUAAUACCUGAAGGUCUGCAAUAUAGCAAACUCUACAGACUAGACUUCUUCAAUUCAAUAAGCAAAUUCUUAACUGCUGACCCUGUCAUAUAAGAAACUAGAUUUUAAUAGCUUGGAGAAGGUUUUUCAUUGCCCUGAGCUUCUCUCAAAAAAGGGAAGGAAGCAGUUAAGUCUAUGAAUGUGUAUCUUACUUCUUUUUAAUUGAAUUUUCAUUCUUCUGGAGCCAAUCUCUCAUGAAGUCAGCAUUGGAACCUCUCAGUCGUCAAGUCAUCAGUGUCAGUAACAUGCUUUAACUUCCAGGCAUUUUUAAGGUAUCUUUGGUGUUUGCAAGUCUUCAAUGCGGUGUAUCUGAAGAGAUUCACUGUGGUCACUAGCAUAUUUUAAGGUGACUAGUAGCUCCAUAUACCUCCUAUGAUUAUGGUAAAGAAGCUUUUCUCUGUAUUUUCUGUCAAAACAUAUUUCCUGUGAUUAUUAGAUUGCCCUGGUAAGUAUUGGAGAUAUACCCAUCUGGAAUACUUACUUGUACUCAGUUUCUACAGAUGAUUUUUAGGUCUAUAACAAAAUUUCGGUACUUCAGAUCAUGGCUUUUAGUUUUUAAUAUCUCAGUUUACUUUUCUUAACCUUCCAGCAACUACUUGUUGUACAAUUCAGAUGUUCUGGUCAAACAAACUGUUUUGCAACUAUCACUUAAUAUAAUAACUGAACCAUAUUUUUGGACUGAUUAAAUUUCAUGAAUUGAUUAUGCCUCAAUGUAUCCACUAUUCUGAUGAUUACAUUCAGACAUGUGUCCUGUCAGCACAGCUCAUAAAUUUCCAUUAUAGAGGGCAUGAGGACACUUCAAUGCAGAGCAACCACAGUGCUUCAGUUGUAUAUGUUUAUUGUAUGGUUAUAUGAUUUUGGAAACUUUCCUUUCUCUCUCACUCUAAAGAAAUUUUUGGAAAUCUUUGAAUUUUUUCUAGGAAAAAAAACCCUGUGUUUUGUCUAUGUUCCUGGUUACAAUAUUUGGUGUGUUGAGUGCAGUAAAAAACUGAUCUUUUAUCUUCAGAUCUCUUUUUCUUAGUUCAUAUUGGUUUCUCAGAAGCUUUUAGGUUUAUCUUCCAGAUUUUUUUUCUUGCUAUUAUAAAAAUUGUGGAAAACUAGAUGUGCAGAUGAAUGAUGGAUUUGUGAUCUGUAGUCAUCUAAAGAGCUUCACUUCCUACCUCUGCACUGUGAUGCUGGAGUAGUACAGAGUUUCUCUAAAAAUAAGAUAGAACACUCACACAGUGUCUAUUCCUGGGAAAUUUACCUCUGGUCCUCAUGGAUGCUUAGUUCACAUUACUAAGCCAAAACACUACUAAUGCAAAAACACUAUCAUUUGAGUUUCCUUAGUGAUCUGAGUAUACAGAUUGCACUGGGUUAUAGUAAGUAAGCAGUACUGCUUCACGUUAAGAUAAUAAGUAUAAGCUGCAGUCUGUCUCUCUGAGUUCAUUGCUACAUGCACACUAGGUUGCUGAUUCUACUUAUGUGAGAACUGAGACUUUGCUGUAUUCUUAAUCUGUGAAAAGCAUUUAUUGUAUUUCUACUGUUGACUUAGAAAAUCAAUACUGCUUUCUGUCAGAUCUGCUGCUACUAUUUUUGCAAUAUGAACUCCUAUCUCUUUGUUUUGGAGACAGUUCACAAAAUCUGCAGAAAUCCCUAAGAUCCCAGGAGAAAGUGAAAUCCCUAAACAAGCAUUCCUUACUUUGUUUGAGGUGGUAACUGGUAAAAUAAAUGACUAUUGAGCU
rnacentral:lncRNA from 7 species